CACGUAGGGUGCGAGCGUUGUCCGGAAUUAUUGGGCGUAAAGAGCUCGUAGGCGGUGUGUCACGUCGGCCGUGAAAACCUGCAGCUUAACUGUGGGCGUGCGGUCGAUACGGGCAUCACUGGAGUUCGGCAGGGGAGACUGGAAUUCCUGGUGUAGCGGUGAAAUGCGCAGAUAUCAGGAGGAACACCGGUGGCGAAGGCGGGUCUCUGGGCAUUAACUGACGCUGAGGAGCGAAAGCAUGGGGAGCGAACAGG
rnacentral:rRNA from 1 species